UACGAAGGGUGCUAGCGUUGUUCGGAAUCACUGGGCGUAAAGCGCACGUAGGCGGUCCGCACCAGUCAGGCGUGAAAGCCCCGGGCUCAACCCGGGAACUGCGCUUGAUACUAGCGGGCUAGAGUCCGGGAGAGGAUAGUGGAAUUCCCAGUGUAGAGGUGAAAUUCGUAGAGAUUGGGAAGAACACCAGUGGCGAAGGCGGCUAUCUGGACCGGUACUGACGAUGAGGUGCGAAAGCGUGGGGAGCAAACAGG
rnacentral:rRNA from 1 species